UCAAAUCAACCAUUUCUUUAUAUGUGAACCAAUGUAAUCUUUGAUCCACCAUUCCCCUUCUUUCUCCUCUUCACAAAACAUACUCCAUAUGAUUUCAUGGCUACAAGUUUUCCGACCGGUGUUUCAUCUUCUAUUGCAAUAUUGAGCCGGACUUCGAGCAAACGGCCCCCAAGGGGUAGUUUGGUCAUUAUGUGUGCCACCAAGCCCAUCCCAGUUGGCCUCCGAAUCAGACCAUAUGGUCACAACAAGAUUAAGAUAAGCGAUGUCAUUUAAAUUACUAAGGUUGAUCGAAUUCUGAUUAGUUCUAAAAAAAUUUAAAAUAAAUAAAUCACAAAAUUUCAAUUCUUCUUAAUCGUCUCAUUAGUACACCAAACAAUGUCAGCAUUUGGUGAUGUUCAAAUUGUGUUUUUUUAAUUAAAAAUAAAGGAAAAACUGAUGAGUUAUUUAAAUUUAUUAUUCCAAUUAUUUUAUAUUCUUAUAUCUCCUUUUUUCAAAUGAUAUAUAGGUGUUUGAAGAUAAAUUAAAUGGUAUCAUAUGCUACAAGGCUGGAAAUGGUGAAAUUGUUUGCGAAGGAUACGAUGAGGGCCCCCUCGUGUUUCCCAACAAAUUUCAAGAUUUACUUGCAAUUCAAUUUCAAGUGGAGAUGCUGAGAGAGUUGGCUUGCUUCAAAGAUGUUGGCUUCAUGAAUCUGAUGAGAAAGAGCUGCCUAUAUUUUUGACAUCAUAGAACAAUGUUUUUGAAGAUUUACAAGUUUUUUGUACAUUUAGAAGCCAUGUAUUUCUUUCUUGAAUUUUCUUUUUUCGAGAAUUCGAUGGAUGUAAAAGAGUCGAAACGAAUACAAGAAUGGUAAGUAACUAUAUCCCAGGCUUGAUUCAAAUUUUUGUGAUCAAGCUCGAUUUGAAUCGGAGUUAUGAAGCUUUUAAGUAGCUCGAGUUCGAUAAA